UGUUUUUUUUAGUUACGCUUUUAGUGGUUGGACUGUCAGCUUAAAGUCCAAGCCUUAGACUCACUAUAUUUCUGAGAGGACAAGAAUUUGAUCGUUAAAAUGAAUCAACAUUUAUUUGCGUCAUUUUUAAUCGGAUUCACAUUUUGUGAGCUUCUGAUUGUACACGUCGAUUGUGGCAAAAAUGAGGAUCGCUGUGUAACUGGGAUUCCAGUGGAGACGACACUACCUAUCCGAGGUUUAAAUAUAGUGGAACGGAUUGAAAGGGCAAGAAAUAGAGUUCACAUUAUGGAAGGUCAUUUAAACAACCAGCCUUUACAUACAGACUUAGCGAUGCAUAUUGUUAAAGCGAAAAACAGAAUCAACGUAAUUCAUGAUCAUUUAAAUCCUCCGUUACCGAUAAACAGAAUCAACGAAUCCUCCGUUAACGAGAAAGAGAAUGGACGUAAUUAAUAAUCAUUUAUAUCCCUCGGUACGUCCUCGUCAAGCAAGACUUUAAAAUCAAAUUGAAUUUUCAAAGAAUAAACAGUAGUUUGUCAACAAUUUAUUUGUACAUUUAACAAUGUUAAAAUAAAUUUUAAUAAAACGCAACUGGUUUCGAAAUGUUUGGCAUGCCAACAUUAUAA